rnacentral:lncRNA from 1 species
GAGAAUUAUUGUUUAUGAAAGAAAAGGGUAAAUAAAAAGGGGGAGGGGGGAAUUGACUUAAUGAUGACGCCGAUAUAAGUUUGCUUGAGGAACACCCAUCUUUCUCUUCCUUUCCAGCGAGGGACAAAGUUCUAUUGUAAAUAGGAAUCAUUUGAAAUAUAUCUUUUUCCUCCAUUUUUGUUCACAUUUUACCUAAAAAAAAAAAUACAUCAUGCACAAAUUCUUAUGUGUGUGCGUGCGCGUGUGUUGGAAUUAUAAUGUCAUUUAUAAAUACGAAGGAUUGAAUUGGAUAAUGAGUCAUUUUUCAUUCACUGAAUAAAAAUGUAUGCAAAGAGUAGAUGAUAUGAAUAUCUGAAAUAAUAUGAUAAAAAUGAUCAAAACAAAAUAAACAAUUUGUUUUAUUUACCAAACUUAAACUGUUUUAUCAUCCUACUUAACAAAUUAAUAAUACAGUGCCUUUAAAUUUUUUUAGUUAAACUUAUUCUACCAACUAAUCAUUGUAUGUACAGGAACAUGCACAAACGAAAACAGAUCCUAAGCACACAAAGAAAGACUAAAACAUUUGCUUUGGUACUAUUUGUUAACGGAUGAAUCCAGAAACAUGCAUAGAGGAUAAAAUUAAGAAUAUAAAAUUUAUAUUGAUAAUCCAAGAAGAAAAGACUAUCAAAAUGCUGGACAAUCAGCUUUUUCUAAUUACAUAUCUAAUUUAAUAUAUGAAAGGGGUCCAACGAUAAACCGCCGACUAAAAAGAGUAUUAUUCUCCAUAAACUAUCAACAUGAAAGUAACCAAUAUAUUUAUACUCAUUAAAAGAAAAGGUUACUGUGUACUCAUAAUUAAAGACACAAAUUUGUAAGUAUAUAAAUAAUCAGUGGAAAUAUAAAUACUGAUCACUAAAUCAAAAUAAACAUUAAAAUAUACUCCAAUUGAGUAAAGUUAAGCAAUGAGAACAAUAUAACUCAAAAUGGGAACACGAAAUCUAAGAAAUAAAGGACAAAGAAGAAACAUAUCACACACACAAAUGCACAUGUAAAGUGACUCCUUAAAAGGAAUAGUUAUGAUUGUUAUUGUUCGCUUUCGUAAAAUGAAUAGUUGUGACUUUUACCAUUGACUUGACAACUCUUUGUAGGAAUAAGUUUUUUUUAUAGUUAAGUCAUUAAAAUGAUGUAAAAGGGUAUUUUAGUAAUUUAAUUUUUUAAUUUAAGGCUUCCCACUCUUAAUAUAAAAAUAAAUGAGAAAAGUAGAUAUUUUUUAUUUUUUAAAUAAAAAAUAAAAAAUAUAGGCGCCAUAACCAAUGUUUGGUAGCAACUGCAGUUUUCUAUUAAAUCUUGAUUAAUUGGAUUUCACAAACAAAGUUUUUAGGUAUUCUAGUUAGUAGUUACCACAAUACCAAAUCAAAUGGAAAACGAUUUAUUAUCCAUUUGAAGUGAUAAUCUUUUUUCUUCUAAAAAAUGAAUAUUAGUCAAUAUUAUGGGUAGACAAAUAUAGAUAUUGAUUACGUCUAGCAUCAUUAAUUACUCGUUAGUAUCCUUAAAGAAAAAUAUUUUGAAAGUUUUUUUCCCGAAGGGAGAGUCCUUUAGUAAUGGUUUUUAACACUUAAGAUUAACCUACGCACGCAUGAUUGUGUUAUAAAUUUCACACAUAUUUAUUUCUACCUUUUUUCUUACCAAAAAUUUCCAAAAGUAACUUCAAAUAUUCUGAAUUUCUUGUAUUUACAUAAAAUUUUACAAGAGUCAUAUUUAGCAUUGAAAACAUGCAAACUCUCUCUCUAAUAAUGAAUUAUCGAAAGUACUCUCUCAAAAAUUAUUAAUUAUUAAAUAUUUUAAACUAUAAUCAUGGGACAUCGAUUGAUGUUUAUAUAUUUUUUUACUAAUAAUACGUGUUACUAAAUAUUGAUAUAUUGGUAAUACUACAUAAUAAAGUAAUUAAAAUAAUUUAGGAGACGUUCGACAUUUGUAAUCAGAAAACGCAUCAAAUCUUUGUAGAUAACGAUACACAUCAUAAAAUUUCUUAAGACUUUAAUUCUUCUUAAAAACUAUGGUAUCCUUAUCAAUAGUGACAAAUAGAAAGUUAAACUUCAACCAAAGUAUACUGACAACUUACAACUCUUGUUGGAGAGAUAAAUCACAAGAAAUUCACCAAGGAACAAAAUUUUUGUUCGACGGUAGAGCCACCAAGUCAAGCGUCGUUUGAAAUUGGCCAGGCAAUAAAAUUUGAGUUCCAUGAUAAUAAGUGAUAAUAGAAGAGGAAAAAAAAUUGAAUAGUGAUUUUUCGUAAAGUUUUAGAAUUCUACUGAAGGAGAGCAUCCCUUCACAUGAAUAACAUAACCUAUUCCAGAAGCACACUCCUUCACAUGUAAUCGUG